UCUAAGCCAAGAGCAAGUUCCAUUCUUGCGGACCUCAGUAAGGCGAGCUCCAAGUUUGGUAGCAAGAACAUGGCUAAGGGGCAUCAACUCCGGUGUCUCGUCAGUGGCAUAGCCAAACAUGUGACCCUGGUCACCAGCACCAAUCUCCUCAGGUCGCUUAGUCAAAUGACCAUGAACACCUUGAGCAAUAUCAGGGCUCUGCUGCUCAAUGUUCACAAGGACUCUGCAAUUGUCAGCAUCCAAACCAACAUCAGGGGACACAAAUCCAAUUUCCCGGCAAGUGUCACGUACAAUCUUCUCA
rnacentral:lncRNA from 1 species